UGUAAACAAACGUUACGUUCACGAUGUUUUGCAGUUUACGUAUUUUCUUAAAAGUUGUGGUUAAUAAUAUUGAUGUUGAACCUAAUACUCUAUAUUUCCCUCUAUAUAAGUAGUACAUAAAUAGGAUAUGUAAUUAAAAAGUGGGCUAAUUAACGAGGAGGAAUGAAAGGUUCUUAGCCUAGUUUCUGCCAGGUUGCUCUUGUAGCUGAACCAUGAAGUUUGUCCCUCAGCGUUGAUCAUCAGAAUUUGGGCAAGGAUACUUUAACUGUUUCCAGAAGUAUUGAUUGCCAUCCAGAGAUAACUAGAGGAAUGUUGAUUAAAACUAUUCAUGUCAGUAACAUUUUUCUGGCGUCGAUGACCACCGUCUUUAUACAGCCAAUUGAGGAGAGAAUAAACAGCAUUUCAAAGAAUAAACAGCAUUUCAAAGGAAUUUGCUGUCUGUUGAGAAGUGAGUUACAUAAGCAAUGGCACUUGGGCGCCUCCGUCCAUUCAGCGGGCAGGGCAGUGGAAAAAGGGAGUCACAGUGGUGGACAGCAAGAUAAAAGACUCGGCAAAUAAAAGGAUGAAGCACAAGGAUCUAAAAGUGGAACUGGGUGAAAACCCCACAGUUCCGCCAAGAAGUAAUAGACAGAGAAGUUGGACAGCAAGACGGAAGAAAGCGAGCGGGAACGGACGUAAAAGAAAAGGGCUAAAUAGUCGAUGGGGAUAGGGGGGCCCAAGGGACGAUGCAAACACCCAUCAGUGAUGCCGACGGUGCACUACGGGCGGUGCACUGAAGGCUUCCUGCCCCCCUCCCCCUUCCUGGAGACAAGCAAUAAUAAGAAACGAUGGACCCGGAGGACAUUCGAUAUUGUACGUGUCUUCGUCCCGUCAAAGUUCCGAAGAGAUCUCUUCCACCCAUCUGACCUAAACUUGUUGCCAUAUUUCUUCGUUAUGGCCUUAUUCUCCCAAGAUCUGAACGGCUGGAUAGUAAAAAAUCGGGGAUGUGUGAGGCGCCAUCAAAGGAGUGAAUGAUUGGCCAGCCAUAUCAGGAAUCACCGACUAUCCGUUA